rnacentral:rRNA from 1 species
UACGUAGGGGGCGAGCGUUGUCCGGAGUUACUGGGCGUAAAGCGCACGCAGGCGGUCUGCUAAGUUUGGAGUGACAGUUGGUGGCUUAACUGCCAAAGUGCUUCGAAAACUGACAGACUUGAGGGCUUCAGAGGGACACGGAAUUCCGGGUGGAGUGGUGAAAUGCGUAGAGAUCCGGAGGAACACCAGAGGCGAAGGCAGUGUCCUGGGGAGUACCUGACGCUCAGGUGCGAAAGCGUGGGGAGCGAACAGG